rnacentral:rRNA from 1 species
UACAGAGGGGGCAAGCGUUGUUCGGAAUUAUUGGGCGUAAAGCGCGCGCAGGCGGUUUCUUAAGUCUGAUGUGAAAGCCCACGGCUCAACCGUGGAGGGUCAUUGGAAACUGGGGAACUUGAGUGCAGAAGAGAAAAGCGGAAUUCCACGUGUAGCGGUGAAAUGCGUAGAGAUGUGGAGGAACACCAGUGGCGAAGGCGGCUUUUUGGUCUGUAACUGACGCUGAGGCGCGAAAGCGUGGGGAGCAAACAGG